CUACCCUCCUCACUUCUGUCCACUGAGUUUUUCACUAUCACUAGCAGCCCCUUCCAUACUCACCCUCUAUGGAGUGUAGAUAAGAAGAAAACUCAAGUGAGUCACAGCACUCUAAACUGUCAGUGUUUGAAAGACUGUCAGAUCCAGCAUCUACCUUCUCCCCACCCCAUUUCACAGAGCAAGAAAUUAAGCUUACUGAGAAGAAGAGAUUCAUUGUCAAUCUUAAGACAAAUUUCUGGCUCUGAGACCUACGUUAUUUCCAUUCCACUUUCCUGCCCUGAUAGCUCAGUUGGUAAAGAAUCUGCCUGCAAUGCAAGAGACCCUGGUUCAAUUCCUGGGCUGGGAAUAUCCACUGGAGAAGGGAUAGACUACCCACUCCAGUAUUCUUGGGCUUCCCUUGUGGCUUAGCUGGUAAAGAAUCCGCCUGCAAUGCAGGAGACCUGGGUUCGAUCCUUGAUUUGGAAAGAUCCACUGAAGAAGGGAAAGGCUAUAUAUACCAAUAUUCUGGCCUAGAGAAUUCCAUGGGGCUGUAUAGUCCAUGGGGUCACAAAGAGUCAAACACCACUGAACAACUUUCACUUUCACAUUUCACUUUCCUGCCAGUUCAAUUUACUUUAUUAACUUUGAACAGCCUUCGUUAAAAGCUUUGAUGGAACUAAAGGUUGCGUUGAUUAUUUAAAUAAGGUUUUCAAAGUAUCUGUGCAUUUCAGUUACAUACUCCCAUUUUCCAUUACAAUAAGGAAUUGAGAAUUGCCCUGUUACAAUUGGACAUCUUUAAGAAUAAGACUGUGCCUUAACCAUAAGAGUAUCUUGUGAGACUCUUUACCAACAAAGGGAGUAUAUCUGGGAUGUUCAGUCACUGAAGUCCCAGAAGACAGUUUUUCAUUUCUUCAGAUACAAAGCUCCUCAGGCUUCUGGAAGUUUCAUUUAUAGCCCUUUCCCAAGUUCCCUUGAUACUGAUGAGUCUAGCUCAAAUAGCAGUGAGAUGGAAGAGUAGUUUAGGUUCUACUAAAGUGAAACAUAGAACAAAUUAUGUCCUUGCUUCAGUGUCUUCAUCUGGGAAAUAAAGCAGAUCAUGCCCACUCAUCCCUGUCUUUAGUAUUACUUCCUUUGGUCACUGUAAGUAAAUUCUCAUGAUGCUUGGCUGUGAACAAGAUAAGACUCUGUAGAAACCUGCAAAAAGCAGAACAGGCUCAUGUGAAAAACUCCACUAGUUCUCUGGGACAGACAGACCCUGCCCAGAUCCAGAAGUCUAAGGGUUUUAAAAUCUAGGAAGGCCCAGAGACCCUGCUGACACCAAGGGACACCUCCUUCUCUAUAGAUCAACCUUUUCAUUUUCUCUGCUCUUUGAUUGCCACUUGGCUCUCCACUUUACACAGAGAAGAUGAGCCCUCUUCCAUAAAAGAACAAUUGUGAUAGCCCACAUCACCUUUCACUUCUGGCUGUCUACAAAAAGGAAGAAAAUCAGUGUUAUACAGGUUCCAUUCCUUGAAUAAUGCAGUUUGCAAACUUAAAAUAUGCAAAGGCAACUUGGAAAAGCAAGUGCCUGUAUAUAAGCAAAUGUCUGCAAAACCCUGGACAGAAUUGAGGUCUCUGUGUACAUGACAAGUAUUUCUAGUAUUCAGGUGUUUGUCUGCUCUUCUGAGUGAUUUUCCUUUGUACAUCUGGAUGAGUGAGAAGUGUGUGCUUAGAAGUAACUCUAGACAGGAAAACGGACAAGAAGAGGGUAGAGAUUACCUUUGGUUCCCAGGCAGAGGGUUCCUAGAGCAACUGAUACCACCCCACAAGGCCCAAUCUACCCCUAUCUGAAUCUGAAAGGGUUCAACAAGUACAGGCUGGCUUGGCCAUCAUAGCUAGUUCCUCAGUUUGUAGGAGACCUCCCAUUUGCACUUCCUGGUGGGCCUGCCCUGAACAUAGUCCCUCACUGAAGGAGAUCCUCGUAUUUCUUCUAUACUUCUAUCUCCCUUUCCCACUCCCUCCGCCCCCACACGUGCACAGGGUCUGUUUUGAGAUUGGACUUCAGAACCAAAAUGCUGGCCUCUGAGAGCUCAGUGGCCCUGUCUUUAAAAUAAAGCUCUGAGUUAAAGCUUAAAGAGUCAGCCCUGUCGCUUAAAAAUCUGGUCCAGAAAAGCAAGAGAUAGUCG
ensembl:lncRNA